GCCUCCGUAGCUCAGGGGAUAGAGCGUCUGCCUCCGGAGCAGAAGGCCGCAGGUUCGAAUCCUGCCGGGGGCACCC
rnacentral:tRNA from 1 species